rnacentral:rRNA from 1 species
CGCCAGACUCCUACGGGAGGCAGCAGUGGGGGAUAUUGCACAAUGGGGGAAACCCUGAUGCAGCGACGCCGCGUGGGCGAAGAAGUAUUUCGGUAUGUAAAGCCUUAUCAGCAGGGAAGAAGAAAUGACGGUACCUGAGUAAGAAGCACCGGCUAAAUACGUGCCAGCAGCCGCGGUAAUACGUAUGGUGCAAGCGUUAUCCGGAUUUACUGGGUGUAAAGGGAGCGCAGGCGGCACGGCAAGCCAGAUGUGAAAGCCCGGGGCUCAACCCCGGGACUGCAUUUGGAACUGUGCUGCUAGAGUGUCGGAGAGGCAGGCGGAAUUCCUAGUGUAGCGGUGAAAUGCGUAGAUAUUAGGAGGAACACCAGUGGCGAAGGCGGCCUGCUGGACGAUGACUGACGUUGAGGCUCGAAAGCGUGGGGAGCAAACAGGAUUAGAUACCCGCGUAC